AGCCUGAAUCAGUGUGUGUGUUAGUGGAAGCGUCUGGAAAGGCGCGCGAUACAGGGUGACAGCCCCGUACACAAAAAUGCACAUAUUGUGAGCUCGAUGAGUAGGGCGGGACACGUGGUAUCCUGUCUGAAUAUGGGGGGCCCAUCCUCCAAGGCUAAAUACUCCUGACUGACCGAUAGUGAACCAGUACCGUGAGGGAAAGGCGAAAAGAACCCCGGCGAGGGGAGUGAAAAAGAACCUGAAACCGUGUACGUACAAGCAGUGGGAGCACGCUUAGGCGUGUGACUGCGUACCUUUUGUAUAAUGGGUCAGCGACUUAUAUUCUGUAGCAAGGUUAACCGAAUAGGGGAGCCGAAGGGAAACCGAGUCUUAACUGGGCGUUAAGUUGCAGGGUAUAGACCCGAAACCCGGUGAUCUAGCCAUGGGCAGGUUGAAGGUUGGGUAACACUAACUGGAGGACCGAACCGACUAAUGUUGAAAAAUUAGCGGAUGACUUGUGGCUGGGGGUGAAAGGCCAAUCAAACCGGGAGAUAGCUGGUUCUCCCCGAAAGCUAUUUAGGUAGCGCCUCGUGAAUUCAUCUCCGGGGGUAGAGCACUGUUUCGGCAAGGGGGUCAUCCCGACUUACCAACCCGAUGCAAACUGCGAAUACCGGAGAAUGUUAUCACGGGAGACACACGGCGGGUGCUAACGUCCGUCGUGAAGAGGGAAACAACCCAGACCGCCAGCUAAGGUCCCAAAGUCAUGGUUAAGUGGGAAACGAUGUGGGAAGGCCCAGACAGCCAGGAUGUUGGCUUAGAAGCAGCCAUCAUUUAAAGAAAGCGUAAUAGCUCACUGGUCGAGUCGGCCUGCGCGGAAGAUGUAACGGGGCUAAACCAUGCACCGAAGCUGCGGCAGCGACGCUUAUGCGUUGUUGGGUAGGGGAGCGUUCUGUAAGCCUGCGAAGGUGUGCUGUGAGGCAUGCUGGAGGUAUCAGAAGUGCGAAUGCUGACAUAAGUAACGAUAAAGCGGGUGAAAAGCCCGCUCGCCGGAAGACCAAGGGUUCCUGUCCAACGUUAAUCGGGGCAGGGUGAGUCGACCCCUAAGGCGAGGCCGAAAGGCGUAGUCGAUGGGAAACAGGUUAAUAUUCCUGUACUUGGUGUUACUGCGAAGGGGGGACGGAGAAGGCUAUGUUGGCCGGGCGACGGUUGUCCCGGUUUAAGCGUGUAGGCUGGUUUUCCAGGCAAAUCCGGAAAAUCAAGGCUGAGGCGUGAUGACGAGGCACUACGGUGCUGAAGCAACAAAUGCCCUGCUUCCAGGAAAAGCCUCUAAGCAUCAGGUAACAUCAAAUCGUACCCCAAACCGACACAGGUGGUCAGGUAGAGAAUACCAAGGCGCUUGAGAGAACUCGGGUGAAGGAACUAGGCAAAAUGGUGCCGUAACUUCGGGAGAAGGCACGCUGAUAUGUAGGUGAAGUCCCUUGCGGAUGGAGCUGAAAUCAGUCGAAGAUACCAGCUGGCUGCAACUGUUUAUUAAAAACACAGCACUGUGCAAACACGAAAGUGGACGUAUACGGUGUGACGCCUGCCCGGUGCCGGAAGGUUAAUUGAUGGGGUCAGCGCAAGCGAAGCUCUUGAUCGAAGCCCCGGUAAACGGCGGCCGUAACUAUAACGGUCCUAAGGUAGCGAAAUUCCUUGUCGGGUAAGUUCCGACCUGCACGAAUGGCGUAAUGAUGGCCAGGCUGUCUCCACCCGAGACUCAGUGAAAUUGAACUCGCUGUGAAGAUGCAGUGUACCCGCGGCAAGACGGAAAGACCCCGUGAACCUUUACUAUAGCUUGACACUGAACAUUGAGCCUUGAUGUGUAGGAUAGGUGGGAGGCUUUGAAGUGUGGACGCCAGUCUGCAUGGAGCCGGCCUUGAAAUACCACCCUUUAAUGUUUGAUGUUCUAACGUGGACCCGUGAUCCGGGUUGCGGACAGUGUCUGGUGGGUAGUUUGACUGGGGCGGUCUCCUCCUAAAGAGUAACGGAGGAGCACGAAGGUUGGCUAAUCCUGGUCGGACAUCAGGAGGUUAGUGCAAUGGCAUAAGCCAGCUUGACUGCGAGCGUGACGGCGCGAGCAGGUGCGAAAGCAGGUCAUAGUGAUCCGGUGGUUCUGAAUGGAAGGGCCAUCGCUCAACGGAUAAAAGGUACUCCGGGGAUAACAGGCUGAUACCGCCCAAGAGUUCAUAUCGACGGCGGUGUUUGGCACCUCGAUGUCGGCUCAUCACAUCCUGGGGCUGAAGUAGGUCCCAAGGGUAUGGCUGUUCGCCAUUUAAAGUGGUACGCGAGCUGGGUUUAGAACGUCGUGAGACAGUUCGGUCCCUAUCUGCCGUGGGCGCUGGAGAACUGAGGGGGGCUGCUCCUAGUACGAGAGGACCGGAGUGGACGCAUCACUGGUGUUCGGGUUGUCAUGCCAAUGGCACUGCCCGGUAGCUAAAUGCGGAAGAGAUAAGUGCUGAAAGCAUCUAAGCACGAAACUUGCCCCGAGAUGAGUUCUCCCUGACCCUUUAAGGGUCCUGAAGGAACGUUGAAGACGACGACGUUGAUAGGCCGGGUGUGUAAGCGCAGCGAUGCGUUGAGCUAACCGGUACUAAUGAACCGUGAGG
rnacentral:rRNA from 1 species